GACAAAAGUUGUCCGUGAAGUAGAGUUUAUGGAUACCUAAUCAAAAAUUUUUAUUAUCCUAUAGGUACUUGUCACAAACGGAACUCGUGCUAAUUGAAUUAUGAUCACUUUUAUGAUGAGCUAAUUAUUUGAUUCAUUGAGAUUUAUUACUCUGUGUAGUUCCUUAAGCGAAACCAUCUACAUCAGUUGUUCAGUUUUGUAUUACCUACUAUUUACAUCUAAACAGGAAACCCAAACACCGAGACGUGUUUCCCUACAAGUUUUCUUAUUUGUGUUUUCAUUAUUGUGUCAAGUUUGUUCCUGAAGGCGAUUUUGACGUCUUAUUGGGACAGGCCAUUCGAAUAAGAUAACCUCAUAGACGACUAGGUAUACUAUUCGAUAAAUAAACAUUUUGUUUGUUAGUUGCGAUCAUCACGAAUUGGGAAGGGACUUCAGAGUCGCUGAUCAGGAUAAAAAUGGAUUUUUAAAUCAUGAUGAAGCAGGACCAAGUAUAAGUUCGCUACGAUUCACUCUCCAGAACGUGCCGCCAUAAACAGCUUCCAGGAGUUGCGGUUGCGGCGUUAUUGUAGAGAAGUACCUAGGAAUUAUGUACUUACUAGGAAUUGAGAAGGUACUUUAGACACGCUGAUCGGAAUCAAGAUGGAUUUUUUAAAGGUGCAAUUUAUCGUUACUUUAAAAAAGGGGCUUAGUACGAUAAAUAAGUAUUCACGAUGAAAAAGAAGAUUGGACAAUAAAAAAGUGUAACUAUUUUACAAUAAAAAAAUGUAUUGCACGAUUUCUUAAAAAACGAAUGAUAAAUUAGGUAGUAGGUAUCCACGAUAUACAUAGAUAAAUAUGAUAGUAAGAACAAUAAAAAAUAAACAAUUUCCACGAGAA